UACGUAGGGUGCAAGCGUUGUCCGGAAUUCUUGGGCGUAAAGAGCUCGUAGGCGGUUUGUCGCGUCUGCUGUGAAAACUCAGGGCUUAACUCUGAGCUUGCAGUGGGUACGGGCAGACUAGAGUGCGGUAGGGGAGACUGGAAUUCCUGGUGUAGCGGUGAAAUGCGCAGAUAUCAGGAGGAACACCCAUGGCGAAGGCAGCAUACUGGCCGGCAGCUGACGCUGAGGCGCGAAAGCGUGGGGAGCAAACAGG
rnacentral:rRNA from 1 species